rnacentral:lncRNA from 1 species
GUUGUUUUCUCGGCUGUGCACCAGGCUGUCGUGCCCGGGCACGCUCUCCCUGCUGUCUCCCCCACUACACGUAACAGUGGUUCAAAUCCUUCCCCCACGCCUGUCUCCUUGACCCCAGACCUCGGGGCUUCUCAUAUCCCUCUCUUUAUUCCCCACCUAACCCAGCCUCACUCCUCAGCCCCUCCUUCCCAAACUCCACCCCAACACUUUUCAAUGGAGGUUGAAAAGAACAGGACUUUAGGAAAUCCCAAUCUUUAGAAAGAGCCAGAAGACCGGGCGCGGUGGCUCACGCCUGUAAUCCCAGCACUUUGGGAGGCCGAGGCGGGCGGAUCACCUGAGAUCAGGAGUUCGAGACUAGCCUGGCCAACAUGGCAAAACCCCGUCCCUAACUAAAAAUACAAAGAAAGUAGCCGGGCAUGUUGGUGUGUGCCUGUAAUCCCAGCUACUCUGAAGGCAGAGGUUGCAGUGAGCCGAGAUCGCGCCACUGCACUCCAG